GUGGCAGUGCCAAGUUUUACUUGUGUAUUUUGAUAGUGUAUUAAAUAGGAGUAGCUCCCCUUAGAAAAAGAAAAUCAUUUUAGUUGAAGUUUAGAUGUCCCCCCCCCCCUUUGUUGGUAGUGUGCCCCCCUGUUUGUUUACUUAAGCCCACAUGUUCCCCCUAUAAAAGCUGCCACAUGGUCAAGUCACAUUUCAGUUCAGCCAGCAGACCAGCAGACAAUAAACAUACAUGCAUAUAUUUUCCUCCUAACUGGAGUGCCCGUUCUGCUUGAGGUUAGUCUGUUGCCGAGUCAUUUGCUUUGACUUUAUUCCUGCUUGAGUGUUCUUUAAAAGAUCCACUAUUCACACUGUGUUGGUUUUAGAUUUUAGGGUUUAAGUCUCAAUUUCUUGAUUUUUUUGGUUUAAGUCUUUGGAUUAUAGGUUUAUUCUUUGCUUUUAGUUACUGGUUUAUGGUUUAAGGUUCGUGUAAAUAAAUUCUUUUUUGGUCUUUUUUUGUUCGAAAUCUAGAA